rnacentral:rRNA from 1 species
GACGAACGCUGGCGGCGUGCCUAAUACAUGCAAGUUGAGCGCUGAAGGUUGGUACUUGUACCAACUGGAUGAGCAGCGAACGGGUGAGUAACGCGUGGGGAAUCUGCCUUUGAGCGGGGGACAACAUUUGGAAACGAAUGCUAAUACCGCAUAAAAACUUUAAACACAAGUUUUAAGUUUGAAAGAUGCAAUUGCAUCACUCAAAGAUGAUCCCGCGUUGUAUUAGCUAGUUGGUGAGGUAAAGGCUCACCAAGGCGAUGAUACAUAGCCGACCUGAGAGGGUGGUCGGCCAAAUUGGGACUGUGACACGCCCCAAACUCCUUCGGGAGGCAGCAGGAGGGAAUCUUCGGCCAUGGACGAAAGUCUGACCGAGCAACGCCGCGGGAGUGAAGAAGGUUUUCGGAUCGUAAAACUCUGUUGGUAGAGAAGAACGUUGGUGAGAGUGGAAAGCUCAUCAAGUGACGGUAACUACCCAGAAAGGGACGGCUAACUACGUG